rnacentral:rRNA from 1 species
CCCUUAGAUGUUCUGGGCCGCACGCGUGCUACACUGAGUGGAUCAGCGGGUCAGGUUGCGCGAAAGUGUUUCCUAAUCUUGAAAUCCGCUCGUGAUGGGGAUUGACGGUUGCAAUUUUCCGUCAUGAACGAGGAAUACCUUGUAAGCGCGAGUCAUCAGCUCGCGUUGAUUACGUCCCUGCCCUUUGUACACACCGCCCGUCGCUACUACCGAUUGAAUGGUUUAGUGAGGACUCCUGAUUGGCGCCGCCGCCCCGGCAACGGAGCAGCGGACUGCCGAAAAGUUGUUCAAACUUGAUCAUUUAGAGGAAGUAAAAGUCGUAACA